GCGAAAAGUUGUAUUAGUAUUUAAUUAUACUGCUGUAGUUAACUAUUUUUAAACAAAUUAAUCCAUGAAAAUCUGCAGCAAAAAUACAAUAUUUGCAAUAAGAAUGAAAUUAAAAAGAGUAUAAGUGUGAAUACAGAAAAAUUGUUCCAUUAAUAUGUGCUAAGAAAGAGAAAGUAGUGCAAAGUUUGAAAAAAGUGCAAUGCUAAUCUUUACAAUAAGUUGAUAGAAUCACUAAAACCAUUCGUAAAGAAAAUAAAUAUGUAAACUCAAAACCAAUAGAAAAAAGUAAAAUUAUUAUUAUUUUCAAGUGGAAUUCUUGACAACAGGUCCUUAAUCAAAAAUAAAACAAAAGCUAUUAAACAUAAACACUUCCAAUUUGUUGAACAACUAGCUGAUAUACUGUUGGGCUACAAAAUGUCAGGACAGGCAGCAAACAGCCAUAGCAAUCAAAGAGAUGUCGAAAAUGGUCUCUAUCCACAAAUGCCGUCUGAACGUGGCCAAGCAACACAAAAACCGACAACGUCUCGUCCACCACCACGUCGUCAAGAUACAAUUGACAUGGAAGUUAUCCCAUUGAAUCGUAGCCAAUCCGCCCCUACAGGAGUUGAAACGGAUGACCGGCGACGGGCGCGUCGUAUCUUUGAUAAUCAUGAUUCAGAUGGCGAUGGCUUCAUUAAUAUUCACGAACUUAAAGGCCUUAUCAAUGCAGGCCUCUGCAGUGACAUUCCCGAUUACAUUGCUUCACAAAUUCUUCAAAUGUCUGAUGAUGAUAGUGAUGGGCGUUUAAAUUUCGAGGAAUUUUAUCAAAUGUCCCAAACUCACAAAUGGAUGAUAAGGAAUAUUCUUACCAAAUACUGUCGCUUGGUUGUUCCGCCGCCAAAAGCCAUCGAAGGUGACCAAUUGGAUGGUGUCUAUGAAAAGCAAAUGUCAGUCUGUCCACCACCACUGACUAUGGUUAUGUUCUCCAUAAUUGAAAUUUUAUUCUUUUUAGUGGAUGUAAUACAUUUUCAAGACGAUCCUAACAACACUGCCAAUAUAGGUGAAAAUACGAAUGGCCCCGCAGCGACUCUCUUCAUUUACAAUCCCUACAAGCGUUACGAGGCUUGGCGUUUCGUCACAUACAUGUUUGUGCAUGUCGGCCUGAUGCAUCUUUUCAUGAACCUUAUCAUACAAAUAUUUCUGGGCGUCGCUUUGGAACUUGUACAUCAUUGGUGGCGUGUAGCUUUGAUUUACUUGGCUGGUGUGUUGGCAGGCUCGAUGGGUACUUCAUUGACAAGUCCGCGCAUUUUCUUAGCCGGUGCCUCUGGUGGCGUUUAUGCGCUAAUCACAGCGCACAUUGCCACCAUAAUUCUGAAUUAUAAGGAAAUGGAGUAUGCCAUAGUGCAGUUAUUUGUAUUUCUUAUAUUCUGCUUCACGGACUUAGGUACUUCUGUUUAUCGGCAUUUGACAGAUCAGCACGAUCAAAUCGGUUACAUUGCACAUUUAUCAGGCGCUGUCGCGGGUCUAUUGGUAGGUAUAGGGGUGCUGCGAAAUCUGGAAGUACGUCGUUGGGAAAGAAUACUCUGGUGGAUCGCCAUUAUACUCUACUUUUCACUUAUGAUGACCGGUGUUUUAAUUCAUGUGCUGAUGCCCAAUUAUUUCCCACGUCAAGAAUACAAUUAGAUUAAUAUCGAGCAAUCAACCGAAUUGCUAAAGCAUACAUACAAUCUGACAUAGCAGUAUACGCAUAAAAAUACAAUAUUUUAUAACAUGUUUACAAUACGCACAUGAGCAACAUGGACGACAUAUAGUUGCAUUUUUGGUAUUAAGUUUAAAGAGCUAGUAUCAAGCCCAAAGUGCCUUUAGAGUAUUUUAUACACAUAAAUUACUCUACAACAAAGUAAAAAUAUAAAUUUAUAAUAAAGUCGUACUGCAUUUACCAAAUAGGAUUAUGCUUGUUUGCAACUCAAAUGUUAAAAUCCUUUGUAAAGACUUAAAGUAAAAGAAAUAUAGCUAUGCAUAUCUUUCCGGGAGACUUUUUCAAAAUA
rnacentral:misc_RNA from 1 species